GGAAAGAUGGCUGAGUGGUUUAAGGCGAUAAUUUGCUAAAUUAUUGUAGACUUGAAAUCUACCGUGGGUUCGAAUCCCAUUCUUUCCU
rnacentral:tRNA from 1 species